UGACACUGACGGGGGCGGGGGUGGGGUGGGGUGGGUAGACAACCCUUCAGAUUUCCUCUGCCUCUUUUUCAAGCUGAGUCACCAUGUGGUGGCAGACGAGGCCCCACCACGGAGCCAGCCGGCAACGGGGCCCAGAGGCAGCUGGGGUCGCCAUGGAAACGGCUAGUGCAGCGCCUCGCAGGAUGGCAAGAAUCUCACAGUGACUAAAACAAGCAAAAUCUCCUGCCCUCAGGGAGCAAGGAACCAAAGCGGAGUAAGGCUGACAGUAAACAAACACAUCUUUAAAAAAAAAAAAAAUACCGUUUCAGGAAGUGGAAGUGCUGUGUGUGAAUGAACCAGCUAAGAAGAUCAAUGAAUGCAAUCGUUUAAAGAGAGGAGGUGAGGUCGAGCAUCAGAAAAGCCAUUUCCUGUCGGCUUCCUGGAUUUGGGGAGAAAGGGGAACUCACAACCUCUGAGCUCCAUGUCCACCAGAGUGAACUUCGGCACAGGCACAGAGGAUACCACCUUCCUAUCCCUCCAGCC